UAAAAUGCUCACUUUCUAAAUUUUUAACUCUUGUAACAUUUUUAACUUUUUAAACUUUUAACUUAAAAUGCUCACUUUCUAAAUUUUUAACUCUUGUAACAUUUUUAACUUUUUAAACUUUUAACUUAAAAUGUUUCACUUUCCAAAUUUUUAACUUUUGAAACUUUUACAUUUUUUAAACUAUCUUAGACGAGUUAAGGGGAGACUUUUUAACGUUUUACAUGUUUUUAUUUCUGAUUUUAGUUAUAGAAAGGCCUUUUAAACUUUUUUUUUUGAAUUGUUUUUCACAUUAAUUACUUCAUUUUUUUAUGUAUUAUAUUUUUUCUACGUCAUAAUCGUGAGGCGACAACAGAAAACAGACGAGUUCAUUUUAUGUGGCGAAAGCAGCUCAUCCACAGUCCACUGACCAAAGACAUCCUCUCUUCGGCCAUGUACCAGCCAAAUGCCGCCUUAAGUCCAGGAAAAGUUUUCUGAAAAGUGUCCCACCCCUCAGAACGCCGAACACAGGCAGUGAAAGAGUCACUCGGCGGGAAGAAAGACUUGACAAUCUUCCACCAGAAACUACAAUGGAGCUUAAAGCAAGCGAGGCAAUGACCCCAGGAGCAGACACCAACUAUGUAUGCAACGUGGAAAUGCCUAAAUAGACUAAGAUCUGGUGUUGGACGUGCAAAAGUCACUCUCGCCAAAUGGGGACAUCUGGAGGAUCGGAACAGCGAGUGUGACUGUGGCACUGAACCACAGACCAUGCAACACCUCCUCAUGUGCCCCUGCUGGAACAUCCCUGCACAGCAUCGAAUUUAGCAGAGUUUAACGAGAAGGGACAGAAAUGUGUUCAGCUGUGGCUCAACCACAUCUAGCCAAGCCUGUAACUAACUGCCUUGUAGCCACGAUAAGAAGAAGCUCAUCCCAGAAUCGAUGCCAGAGGUAGCCAUGACAUAUUACUUUAUUGUAAUAGGGCAACAGUUUCAAGAACACCUGUACAAGGGAGGCCUGCAUCAUGGAACACAAACUCCCAAACACACAUGACUUCUCCUGCUUCUUCUCACAGCGAGAGCCACGCAUUUCAAGAAGACUUGUACAAGGGAGGCCUGCAUCAUGGAACACAAACUCCCAAACACACAUGACUUCUCCUGCUUCAUCUUAUGUUCCUGGGUCUUGCCUGUGGUUCUACAUGCAUCCAGUCAUGCAGACAGAGAACACCUUAGCCUUUAACUGUCGGAAGCUGUCCCUCUGCGAGGCCUCAUAGUAUAGUCUGUUUUCUGUUCUCAUUCAUUCAUUCAUUCAUUCAUUCAUUCAUUCAUUCAUUCAUUUAUUUAUUUAUUUAUUUAUUUAUUUAUUUAUUUAUUUAUUUAUUUAUUUAUUGAUUGAU